AGGGGUAUAGGAAACCGGUGCCUAGAGAGGUGAAGAUAGGUGAAGAGAGUUUCCUGCAGUGACCUUGAAAGAAUUCUGACUCCUGGACCAGUUUGUGUACCAGAGGAGACACAAAGAUAUAGAAGACAGCAUUCCUCCCUAGAGGUGCUCACAGUGAGAGAAGACAGGAUGAAAUGAUAUUCCAUCAAAAACAGAUGUUAUUUCAGCAGGAGUUGCCACAGUGACAACAAUUGGGUGUGAAGAUAUCAAAGAAUCAUCUUCUUGUACAGUUGGGAGCUGAUGCCCUUGAAGAGAAAAUGGAGCAUCUACAAAGUUGCCCAGAGCCACAGCCAUUCCCAUGUAGAGAAUUUGGUGCCUCAGUCACUUUGCACUAAUAGUUUAUUAAAGGAGAAGCAUAAAAAGAAAUAGAGAAAUCAGUUUUGGGUUGGUCGGUUUCCUUAUUGUCAUCAUUUUAUCCCUGCAGACAUCUAUAUGAUUGUUUCAUUUACAGUUUUUGUUAACACCACUUAAGCUUAUUAAUAAAGCACCUCUGCUAUUGGUAGAAGUAUCAUAUCUGCACCAUCUUGAUUAU